ensembl:lncRNA
UUUUUAUUUACAAAAUAUAUGCAUGAGUAAUUUUUCAGCAUUGACAAAUGCAAAUCCUUUUGUUCCAAUUUUUCCCCUCCUUCCCCCCACCUGCUCCCCCAGAUGGCAGGUAGACCAAUACAUGUUAAAUACAAUAUAUGUAUACAUGUCCAUAUAGUUAUUAUGCUGCACAAAAAGAAUCGGACUUUGAAAUAGUGUACAAUUAGCCUGUGAAGGAAAUAAAAAAUGCAGGUGGACAAAAAUAGAGGGAUUGGGGAUUCUAUGUGGUGGUUCACACUCAUUUCCCUGAGCUCUUUUGCUGGGUGUAGCUGGUUCAAUUCAUUACUGCUCUAUGGAGCUGAUUUGUUUCAUCUCAUUGCUGAGGAUGGCCAAGUCCAUCAGAAUUGAUCAUCAUAUAGUAUUGUUGUUGAAGUAAAUAAUGAUCUCCUGUGUUCUGCUCAUUUCACUCAGCAUUAGUUCAUGUAAGUCUCUCCGGGCCUCUCUAAAAUCAUCCUGCCGGUCAUUUCUUACAGAACAAUAAUAUUCCAUAAUAUUCAUAUACCAUAAUUUAUUCAGCCAUUUUCCAAUUGAUGGGCAUCCACCCAGUUUUCAAUUUCUAGCCACUACAAAAAGGGCUGCCACAAACAUUUUUGCACAUGUGGGUCCCUUUCCCUUCUUUAAUAACUCUUUGGAAUAUAAGCCCAGAGUAACACUGCUGGAUCAAAGGGUAUGCACAGUUUGAUAACUUUUUUGAGCAUAGUUCCAAAUUGCUCUCCAGAAUGGCUGGAUGUGUUCACAACUACACCAACAAUGUAUUCAUUUUUUUACAUAUAUCCUUAUGAAUAAUAUUAGGAGAGGAAAACACAAAAGGGAAAAACCACAAGAGAAGAAAAAAAAAAAAAGGCAAAAAGUGAACAUAGCAUGUGUUGACUUGCAUUCAUUCAGUCUCCAUAGUUCUCUCUCUGGAUGCAGAUGGUGUUUUCCAUCCAAAGUUAUUGGGAUUGCCUUGAAUCACUGAAGAACCAAGUCUGUCAUAGUUGAUCCUCAAACAAUCUUGUUGUGUACAAUGUUCUGAUUCUGCUAGUUUCACUCUGCAUCAGUUCAUAUAAAUCUUUCCCGGCUUUUCUAAAAUGUUUGUUCAUUUUUUCCUUUAAUUCAUAUACCAUAACUUAUUCAGCCAUUCCCCAACUAAUGGGCAUUUACUUAUUUUCCAGUUCUUUGCCACCAGAAAAAGAGCUGCUACAAACAUUUUUGCACAUGUGGAUCUUUUCCCUCCUUUAUGAUCUCUUCGGGAUACAGGCAAGUAGAGACACUGCUGGAUCAAAGGGUAUGCACAGUUCAAUAGCCUUAUGAACAUAGUUCCAAAUUGCUCUCCAGAAUGGUUGGAUCCUUUCAAUGCAAUAAUGAUUAGUGUCCCAAUUUUCCCACAUCUUCUACAAUAUUCAUCUUUAUCUUUUCCCGUCAUCUUAGCCAAUCUGAAAGGUGUGAGGUAGUAUCUCAAGAGUUGUUUUAAUUUGCAUUUCUUUAAACCAAUGGUGAGUAAUCAUUUUUUCAUAUGAUUAGAAGGCUUUAAUUUCUUCAUCUGAAAAUUGUUCAUAUCCCUUGACCAUUUAUCAACUGAGGAAUGAUUUAUAGUCUUAUAAAUUUGACUCAGUUCUUUAUAUAUUUCAUAUCAGAAACAAGCUGUAAAAAUCUCUCCCCCCCCCAUUUUUUUGCUUCCCUUCUAAUCUUGGCUGCAUUGGUUUUGUUUGUGCGUAAACUUUUAAAUUUAAUGUAAUCAAAAGUGGUCAAUUUUGCAUUUCAUAAUGUUCUCUAGUUCUUCGUUGGCCAUAAAUUCCUCUCUUCUCCAAAAGAUCUGAUAGGUAAAUUAUCCCUUGCUCUCAAUUUGUUUAUAGUAUCCAAAAGUUAAAUUUUAUGGAAUUUAUAUUUCUAGAGAUAGCACAGAACCUAGAACACUAGGGACUUCAUCUUACAUCUUUUUAAAAAACUUAGUUGAGCUGACAUUGCUCAAGUUUUAAGUGAUUAACACAAAAUAAGCAAUUUCCACUAGCUCCUCCAAAUCAAGCAUCUCUCAUGUAGAAAAAUAGUUCACAUAGGAACCAGUAACCUCUGAGGUCCUUUCUACCUCUAUAAUCAUGAUACAGUGACCCAAUGAACCAGAUUCCUAUUGCAGAGGACAUGUGGAUCCUAAUCCUAGGCUCUAGACUAAUUUAUGAAAAUUACUAACAAUAUUUUCUAAAAUCACAUUAAUAUGCUUAGACUUGCUGGGCCCACAGAAGUACAUUUACUCUAUAAAUUAUUCCUUUAACCCAGGCAACCAAGUUGCUAUUUUUACAAACUCUGUUUUCAACAGAUCCUAUGGCUAAGUUAUUGUUUGAAAAAGACUGUUUUAGCAAAAUUAGUAUUCCUAACAUGACUUAGAGCCAAAAUUUUGGUAUAAGGUUUUAUUCCCCUUGACCCUAAUUGCAAAUUAGUUGUCCAUGAUCUUUGGCCCGUUGCUUUUGUGAAAUAAAUCUUUGACUUAAAGAGAAACCCGUCCAAGUGUUCUCACUCCAACUCUAAACCAAAUACUCUCCUGUAGCACUAUUAUGCCAUAUCAAUGACAUAAAACCCUGGGGAUACCCUGAAACCACCAUUUUUAAUAAGAUCCUGCACUUUGUCUACCAACAAGGUAAAGGGAAAAUUGAACAAGAAUAGCUAACUCAGUAACUGGUAGUUUCACUUUCUUUCAGAGAUUACCCCUACUGAUCAACUUUCUACUUAACAUUACUUCUCCUUUCAUGGCACCAAAGAGAAGCAGUGUCAGCUUUCAGUCUUUUUUCCAUUCAUUUCUUGACCUUUCUAACCAUUUUACCUUUUGACCUCACUAACUGAAAUCAGUCUUUCCAAGGUUACCAAAGACCUCUUAAUUGCCAAAUCCAAUAGUAUCCUGAGUCUUAAUCCUUCUUAAUCUCAUACUUUAUUGAUGAUAUGGUAGAUAGAAAACUGGCCUGAGAAUCAUGAAUGGUUAACUUUCCCUUGACAUAAACUAGCAGCCACUUAAACAGUAUCCCAGAAACAUUUUUAAAAGAAUAUCUACUUCCUCAAGGGUGGUGUUAAAAAAAUAUUACAUUAAAUAAAUGUAAGAAAA